UACGUAGGGGGCAAGCGUUAUCCGGAUUUACUGGGUGUAAAGGGAGCGUAGACGGAGCUGCAAGUCUGAUGUGAAAGGCUGGGGCUUAACCCCAGGACUGCAUUGGAAACUGUAGAUCUUGAGUGCCGGAGAGGUAAGCGGAAUUCCUAGUGUAGCGGUGAAAUGCGUAGAUAUUAGGAGGAACACCAGUGGCGAAGGCGGCUUACUGGACGGUAACUGACGUUGAGGCUCGAAAGCGUGGGGAGCAAACAGG
rnacentral:rRNA from 1 species